GGCCCAAGCUUAAAGUUCAAAGGAUUCAAUUUGGAAGAGUAAAAUCAAAGAAAAAAUUCAAAAGAAUAGUCUUCGAGUCGACUCCUGAGGAUUUCGAGUCGACUCCAAUGUUUACCGAGUCGACUCCGGAGAAGUUUGAGUCGACUCCUAGGAGUCACAGGCAGAAAAGUCAGAGAGCAGUUUUCAGGUCUGAGAUUCGAGUCGACUCCAGUGGAACGCGAGUCGACUCCGAUGGUUGGUAGGUCGACUCCAAAGAAAGCAAGAGUCGACUCUCAGCGGAACACAAGAAAAAAGUCAGAGAGCAUUUUUGGGACUCUGAGAUUCGAGUCGACUCCCGCAUUGCACGAGUCGACUCCGAGACU
rnacentral:lncRNA from 1 species